GACGAACGCUGGCGGCGUGCUUAACACAUGCAAGUCGAACGGAAAGGCCCUGCUUUUGUGGGGUGCUCGAGUGGCGAACGGGUGAGUAACACGUGAGUAACCUGCCCUUGACUUUGGGAUAACUUCAGGAAACUGGGGCUAAUACCGGAUAGGAGCUCCUGCUGCAUGGUGGGGGUUGGAAAGUUUCGGCGGUUGGGGAUGGACUCGCGGCUUAUCAGCUUGUUGGUGGGGUAGUGGCUUACCAAGGCUUUGACGGGUAGCCGGCCUGAGAGGGUGACCGGCCAAAUUGGAACGGGGAUACGGCCCGAACCCCUACGGGGGGCAGGGGGGGGGAUAAUUGCACAAUGGGGGGAAGCCUGAUGCACCAAGCCCGGGGGGGGGAUGGCGGCCUUCGGGUUGAAACCCGUUUUCGCCUGGAGAGAAGGGGGAGUGAGGGAAAUGGGUAAGAAAGCACCGGAAAACUCCGU
rnacentral:rRNA from 1 species